CAGCAAUCUUCAUGAUGUAUUAUUGUCUAUCUUCCCUCCACCUUUUGUUCCUUUUUUUUUUUUUGGUAGAUCUCACUGAUGGGCCUGAGUUAAUCCUGUACCACCACCACCACCACCAUCAUCAUCAUUUCUCUCCCUUGAAGCCCUCUGUGGAACAAGACACAUCUCAAAGCUUCUGUCUGUUUCUUCUGCAUCUCAGAACUAAUUUCAGAAAUCACUGGUGCACCAAGUUCACCAAAUCUCUGGGGAGAGGAGACGCCAACCUGAGGAGCAACGUUGGUUGUAAAGCACACCUCUGGACCAAGUCUUCACUGGAGGAGUACCAUAGUUGAAGAGCACAUGACCUCAUCAGCUCCAGGUGGGUACAAGGGAUGCUGCUGAUGGAAGCUUCUCCCACGUGACUCCUGGUGACACUUACCUCAGAAGCAUGAUCUUUACAGAGUUGAGUUGUUUGCCUUCCUAACGUGAAACAAUCAAAUACUUUUGGAAGGAAAUAGUCCAAGAGUCAAGAAGACCGAUUUCCCUCUUCAUCUUUAUUGGAACUUAAUUUGCUGGCAAUUAUCAUGUCUUUAUCAUACACUUAGAGUUUCAUUCAUUUACACUCCAGGAAGAAUGAUGAAUCUUUAUAACAUUUUCAUUUAAAUUACU
rnacentral:lncRNA from 1 species